rnacentral:rRNA from 1 species
GGGAGCUUGCUCCUGGUGGCGAGUGGCGAACGGGUGAGUAAUAUAUCGGAACGUACCCAGACGUGGGGGAUAACUAGUCGAAAGAUUAGCUAAUACCGCAUACGUCCUGAGGGAGAAAGCGGGGGAUCGCAAGACCUCGCGCGUUUGGAGCGGCCGAUAUCUGAUUAGCUAGAUGGUGAGGUAAAGGCUCACCAUGGCGACGAUCAGUAGCUGGUCUGAGAGGAUGAUCAGCCACACUGGAACUGAGACACGGUCCAGACUCCUACGGGAGGCAGCAGUGGGGAAUUUUGGACAAUGGGCGAAAGCCUGAUCCAGCCAUUCCGCGUGAGUGGAGAAGGCCUUCGGGUUGUAAAGCUCUUUCGGCAGGAACGAAACGGUGAGAGCUAAUAUCUCUUACUAAUGACGGUACCUGAAGAAGAAGCACCGGCUAACUACGUGCCAGCAGCCGCGGUAAUACGUAGGGUGCGAGCGUUAAUCGGAAUUACUGGGCGUAAAGCGUGCGCAGGCGGUGACUCAAGUCAGAUGUGAAAGCCCCGGGCUUAACCUGGGAACGGCAUUUGAAACUAGGUCGCUAGAGUAUGGCAGAGGGGGGUAGAAUUCCACGUGUAGCAGUGAAAUGCGUAGAGAUGUGGAGGAAUACCGAUGGCGAAGGCAGCCCCCUGGGUCAAUACUGACGCUCAUGCACGAAAGCGUGGGUAGCAAACAGGAUUAGAUACCCUGGUAGUCCACGCCCUAAACGAUGCCAACUAGGUGUUGGGGAAGGAGACUUCCUUAGUACCGUAGCUAACGCGUGAAGUUGGCCGCCUGGGGAGUACGGUCGCAAGAUUAAAACUCAAAGGAAUUGACGGGGACCCGCACAAGCGGUGGAUGAUGUGGAUUAAUUCGAUGC